GAUUUCGUCUCGCUAGUUAUUAAUUUUUGUUUUUUUUUUUAUGUUUUUAGUCUGGACAUAUUUAAUUUAGUUGAAAUCUAAUGACUUAAAUUUGCUUUCUUUCAAAAUGCUCUAACUGACGGACCUAACUAAAUGUGUACGUUAUUGUGUAGUUACCAUAGAGGUUUCGUAUUGUCUUGAGCCUGAUAUUUUGAUUUUAGAGCUCGUUUAUACGGUAGCUAAUAAUAAAAAAGAAUCAACAUGUGACAUUUAUCGUACUCAAUUACCAUGCACAUGUAUAUAUGUUUCUUGUCGUGGCAUUCUUGGUUACUCUACUCAGCUCCCUCUUCCUCAGGUUCAAAUCAUCAUAUUUCUCUCUUUUAUAUAUUAUAUAGCAUUUUGUUUAGUGAUGUUCUACCAAUUUAGUUAUUUUUCCUUUUUUUGUGAUGUAACAUCGACACAUGAUUUUAUUUAUGUGUCGUCUUGUUAUACUAUGUAUUUACAUGUUCAAGAAUAAAAACUGGUUUAAGGUUAAUUUGCUCUAGUGCGUGAUUAAGAUAUAUACAAUCCUGAAAAUUAUUUAACUAUUUUCAUAACAGGAUUUUCUAGGAUCAGGGGUAGAUUUUCCGGUAGGAAACGUCUCGUUCUUCCUCUUCUACUCAGGCCAUGUCGCAGGGUCGACGAUAGCAUCCUUGGAUAUGAGGAGAAUGAAGAGGUUGAGACUUGCCUUGCUUUUUGACAUCCUCAAUGUAUUACAAUCGAUCAGGCUUCUCGGGACGAGAGGACAAUACACGAUCGAUCUCGCUGUCGGAGUUGGCGCUGGGGUUCUCUUUGACUCACUGGCUGGAAAAUACGAAGAGAUGAUGAGCAAGAGACGCAAUGUAGGCAAUGGUUUUAGUUUGAUUUCGUCUCGCUAGUUAUUAAUUUUUGUUUUUUUUUUUUUAUGUUUUUAGUCUGGACAUAUUUAAUUUAGUUGAAAUCUAAUGACUUAAAUUUGCUUUCUUUCAAAAUGCUCUAACUGACGGACCUAACUAAAUGUGUACGUUAUUGUGUAGUUACCAUAGAGGUUUCGUAUUGUCUUGAGCCUGAUAUUUUGAUUUUAGAGCUCGUUUAUACGGUAGCUAAUAAUAAAAAAGAAUCAACAUGUGACA
rnacentral:lncRNA from 1 species